rnacentral:rRNA from 1 species
GACGAACGCUGGCGGCGUGCUUAACACAUGCAAGUCGAACGAUGAAGCCCUUCGGGGUGGAUUAGUGGCGAACGGGUGAGUAACACGUGGGCAAUCUGCCCUGCACUCUGGGACAAGCCCUGGAAACGGGGUCUAAUACCGGAUACGAGUUUCACCGGCAUCGGUGAUUCUGGAAAGCUCCGGCGGUGCAGGAUGAGCCCGCGGCCUAUCAGCUUGUUGGUGAGGUAACGGCUCACCAAGGCGACGACGGGUAGCCGGCCUGAGAGGGCGACCGGCCACACUGGGACUGAGACACGGCCCAGACUCCUACGGGAGGCAGCAGUGGGGAAUAUUGCACAAUGGGCGAAAGCCUGAUGCAGCGACGCCGCGUGAGGGAUGACGGCCUUCGGGUUGUAAACCUCUUUCAGCAGGGAAGAAGCGCAAGUGACGGUACCUGCAGAAGAAGCGCCGGCUAACUACGUG